CGGACGGGUGAGUAACACGUGGAUAACCUACCUAUAAGACUGGGAUAACUUCGGGAAACCGGAGCUAAUACCGGAUAACAUGUUGAACCGCAUGGUUCAACAGUGAAAGACGGUCUUGCUGUCACUUAUAGAUGGAUCCGCGUCGCAUUAGCUAGUUGGUAAGGUAACGGCUUACCAAGGCAACGAUGCGUAGCCGACCUGAGAGGGUGAUCGGCCACACUGGAACUGAGACACGGUCCAG
rnacentral:rRNA from 1 species